GUCCACCUGCCUCAGCCUCCCAAAGUGCUGGGAUUGCAGGCGUGAGCCACUGCACCUGGCCAGUAGGUUGAGUUUUAAUGAUGUCUGUGAAGAUGCAAGUUCAGCUGUGACCUGGAAGUGUGGCCUGGCACCUGAGAGGAGCACUGCAGACCGCCUGUUCUGUGUUGCUUGCAUUGGCAUCCAUGAUUUUCUCAUCUUAUUGAACUGGCUAGAGCCCUCAACGUAUGGUGUAAAAGCAACCUUGUCUUAAUCCUUUUUGAAAGGAAAUGUUCCAGAUUCUACCAUUUGGUACCAUGUUUGCUCUAAGAUUUUGAAUAAAGCCAUAAAAACAUCUCGGUUGAAGCAAAGGGAAGCAGCAAAGAAACUGACUCCUCCCAGUUGCCCACCAUACACUCCCUUUUCAUCUCAACAGUGAGUUAGGUGGACAACCAUCUCCCACUGUCUCCUGGUACCAUCUCUAAUCUUACAGCCUCACUGGAGUUAUCCAAGGUCCUGAAGACACCCCAGUGACACUCCCCAGUCUCACAGUUUGAAGGUUGCAGUUCAGGGAUCAGACUGUCUCUCCAGGCAACAAACAUCUGCACCAGCUGGACUGCUGCUACUGCGCGGGGUGGGGUGUGAUGGACAGUGGGGUCCUGUACUACGGGCCUGUCGUCCUGGGUCUGUUCUGCCCAGUGGACCUGUCCAGGCUGCUGCAGGAGUGGUGAUGCUCAUGCCACCUGGCCACUUGACCUUGCUCUGCAUAACCUAAUGACCACCAUCGUUUAAUGGUUGCAUCACAUUCCAUCACACGGUCAAUAGUCGUUUUUCUCUACUUUUUUAUUGUUAGGUAUUGCCUUUUUUUUUUUCUUAUUUCUUUCAAUGAUAAAUGCUGGUUUGAUGAAUGUGGUAUACAUUUAUUUUGUUUGUGUUUUGCAUUAUUCCUGGGAAGAACAGAUUUCUCAGUGUAGAAAUACUGAUUCAGAAGCUCUGCAUGUUUUUAAGCUUCAUAUGCGUAAUGCUGAGUUGCUUUCUGCAGAAGUUAGCCCAACAGCAUAUAACCAUGCCUCUUUUUUCCCAUUCUCUUCAGCGCUGUUUUAAUAGCGUUAAAUAUUUGUACCUUGUAAUAGUGCAAAAUUAUGUCCCUAUGUUUCAGUCCUCUCUCCUUUGAUUACUAGAAAUGUUGAAGUGUUUUCAUUAUUAAGCACAGGUGUAAAUCCAUUUCUACAGUUUUGCUAACUUUUCUUGGGUUGGUAAUAUCUUUAUCACCAAUGUAUUUGAACUUAGAUUAUAGGAAGUUUAUUAAACCUUUGUGAUGUAUUUGUUAUAAAUAUUUUUCUGAAUUAUUAGAUAAGUUAUAAUUUGGUUAAUUAUGUGUGUUGGCCCACAUAAGUUCAAAGUUGCUAUGUACUCAAAAUUUUUCCAUUGUGAUUUACUUAAUACAUUUUCACACUUAGACAUUUCUUCCUUGUCCGCUGUUGCUUAUGCUUUCUUAGAAUUUAUUAUGUCCUUAUGUAUUUAAUGCUUUUAUUUUAGUAAAUGGUGAAAAUAAAAAUCAAAACCCUU